UAGGGAAUCUUCGGCAAUGGACGAAAGUCUGACCGAGCAACGCCGCGUGAGUGAAGAAGGUUUUCGGAUCGUAAAACUCUGUUGUUAGAGAAGAACAAGGACGUUAGUAACUGAACGUCCCCUGACGGUAUCUAACCAGAAAGCCACGGCUAACUACGUGCCAGCAGCCGCGGUAAUACGUAGGUGGCAAGCGUUGUCCGGAUUUAUUGGGCGUAAAGCGAGCGCAGGCGGGUUCUUAAGUCUGAUGUGAAAGCCCCCGGCUCAACCGGGGAGGGUCAUUGGAAACUGGGAGAGUUGAGUGCAGAAGAGGCGGGUGGAAUUCCAUGUGUAGCGGUGAAAUGCGUAGAUAUAUGGAGGAACACCAGUGGCGAAGGCGGCUAUCUGGUCUGUAACUGACGCUGAGGAUCGAAAGCGUGGGGAGCAAACAAG
rnacentral:rRNA from 1 species